AUUCAGCUGACGAGUCUUAAGUAGAAUGAAACGCGCGUCCUGGAC
rnacentral:hammerhead_ribozyme from 1 species